CCGAGUGAGGGCCUUCGGGCUCGACCUCCAACCCUUUGUGAACACACCUUGUUGCUUCGGGGGCGACCCUGCCGUUCCGACGGCGAGCGCCCCCGGAGGCCUUCAAACACUGCAUUAUUACGUCGGAGUAAAAAGUUAAUUUAAUA
rnacentral:misc_RNA from 1 species